rnacentral:tRNA from 1 species
GCCAAUGUAGCUCAGCAGGUAGAGCACCACCAUGGUAAGGUGGGGGUCGCCGGUUCGAUUCCGGCCAUUGGCU